CACUGAGAGAACAAGGAAGUGGUUUCUCUGCUGCCAGUGUGCGCAAUCUGGAAAGAGGGAAACAAGACUUUAUGUUUCUACGUGGCAAACUUUUCCCUUUUUUUUUUAAUCAUUUCUAUUCCUGCUUAUUUUGUUCGACUGAGAGUGAACUAAUCCACGCUAUUCAAGAUCAUGGAAAAACUGGAGUCUGUGAAGACAAAACUCUGUAUGUGGCUUUCAGAGGACCCUGAUUUUAUCCUCGCAAAGUGUGGGAAUAUUUUAUCUAUGAACGAGUUUCUCGAAGUACAAAAGCAAAGCAAUGCAUUAGAAAAGAUGGAAGUGCUUCUGAAGACAAUAAUUACGAAGCAAGAAUAUACCUGUCAGUCCUUCUUAAGCAUCCUGGAGGAGAAUCAACUGCACUACCAGCAACUGACACAGCUUUUCAAACCUGAUGCUCAAACUGCACCAACUGUGUUCGCUGACAGUUGCAGUGUUGUUACCAUGAGAGAGAUGACAGAUAUCAAAGCAAAAAACCUCAACACAAAUAUUAUAACGGAGAUGGAUCCACGGAGUUGGAAGACUGGAACUGCUGUUGGAACAGCUCCCCAAACAGAUUACACCUGCUGUUAAUGGCAGUGCAAUCUGUGCUGACAAGAUAUCUGGUGUCAAUGUUGAUGAUCUAAAUGUAUCAGUGUCUGUGAAAAUGGUGAAUACAGGGACAGUAGACGAGAUACUGCCAUCCCAUCAGGGUCCGGCUGCCAAAAUGAUCAUUACCAACAAGUUGGGACUGAUUGACUGCCUGAGUGCGGAUUCAUCCUUCAUUUUGCAGAAUGUGCAUGAAAAACAAAUUGUCACAGAUAGACAAUAUCUGAUUUUGAAAGAUCUCUCACAGCAAGAAGAAACCGUCAUAAAGCUCAUCGAUCAAGUGAUUAGAAAAGAUGAAAAUUCCUGCUCCCUUUUUCUUGAAGUUCUCAAACAGCCUGAUGUUCUUAUGACUUAUCCGAAGCUCAAAGAACUCACCAAGAAAUGGUGAUAAGCAGAAGGGGAAACAAUGUAUUAGCUGUAAAUGUGAAGAUAGGGUGAACAAGACAUGAGUGAUAUGAUUUUAUUUGUAUAUUUCAUUUAUGAACUCUUACAUACAUCCUCUCACAUUGUUUUGCUAAACAUGGUAAGGAUAACACCCAAUAGUGAUUGGAUUUUAGGGGUUUUGAUUUCAGAGUGAUUGGUUGUAAAAAAUCAUAACGGUGCUCUGGGAGGAGAGCAGGUGAUAAGAUGGGCGGGCGGUCGUUACCUUGGUUGGUUAUUGGCUAAUGGUUGCCCAACCCCAAAAACACUGUGACAUCACAAAGUGGCCAAAAUCUGAUCAGCUCUUUUUCAGACAGGUUUUUAUGGAUCAGGACAAAAGGAUAGAGAAUAUUUUCCCCUGAAUCUGUAUGUGUCACAGAGGGGACACAUAUUUAUGUAUAAAAGACAUGAAAAAGAGGAUUUGUCAAAAUAGGGGACCUUUAACUUCAAAUCAUUAAUUGACAAUAGCUUUCUGAUGAGGAGCUCAUAGCUGUCAUUCACGCUUGGGAUGCUUGGUGUAUUUAAAAGUAUAAUUUGUUUAAUAAAAUAUCUGAAAAAAAGCUUGCACCAAUACCUGUCAUCAUUAAGAGAAAACAUACAGAUGCACUCUGACUGGAUAAUCCUGAAUAAAUGGACUAGUAAUAUAUAUUAUGAGCCACUAGAGGUCACAAUUGUUAAGGAUUUGUUUGUUAAUAUCGUUCUUUUGUCAUGUUAAUACAAUGUGCAUUGUCUUUAACACAAUAUAAUGUUUGAUUCCAUGUAACAUGCAACAAGCAUUUGACUCGAACUUGUGAAUAAUAUUUAAAACUAAUCAUCUAAGGAAAAAACAAAAGAUUACCUAGUUUUAAGUGUAGACUGUAGUUUUGUUUUAGACCACAGUAAAACAAAAAGAAAAGAGUUUACUGAAGUAAAAAAAUAAUAUAAUUGGAUUCUAUUUAUUGAUCCAUCAAUGUGUCAGCAUAUGUUAUUUUUAUAUAGGCCUAUUGUCUGUCAUUGUGACAGUGUUGAAAGGGGGAGACAGAGGAGAUAACACGCGACAAAGAUCCCAGGUCAGAUUCAACCCCGGGUCCUCUGCAUGGGGACUGAGCCCCAGUACAUGGACCAACAACUCUACCAACUGAACUACACAGCGUCCCAUACACUGAUACAUUCUGAGUGGAUUCUCCGAAAUAAAUGAACUAAUAAUGCACAUUAUGUAGUUGAAUAUAGACUGCUGCACGUCAUCAUCUAAGCCACUAGAGAGCACCAUUGCAAAGGGUUUGUUUUUGAAUCACUGGGUUUUCCAUGUUUAUGAACAUGCAAUGUAUUUAAAACCAAACACUGACAAUUCAUGCACUGCAAUGACAAUUUUAGGUAAAUUAUUAUUCAAUAUAAUAAUAUGUUUAACUUACUGCGCAUUUUAAGUAUUACUGUGCUACAGAAUCAUGCAAAUAAUACACAAAUAAAAGGUUUGAACGAA